UCGAGUGCGGCCAUUCACUUCAGGUAGAUGUAAAAAUGAUGGACCGUUCCAAUGAACAUUACACUGUACCAUUGCAUUAGGCAGUAGACCACGAGACGAAGGAUCAGCUGGAUUCUCGGCUGUACUAAUAUGCGACCAACUGCAACCUGGUAUUAAUUGAUGAAUUUUCGCUAAUCUAUUAGUCACAAACAUUUUAAAGUAUUUUGCAUCAGUGGUGAUCCAUGAUAAAACUAUCGAUGAGACCGUUAUGCGCGAAUCUGUGAUAUGGUAACGUUUGGUGAUAAAACGGGCUGAACUCUAGUUGAGCCAGUAAAAGAGCGGCACACUAUUCGAGUCUCGGUAUUGUUAAUGACAUGUCUUGUUUACUAGACUUCAAUGGCGCUACUUUGGUUUUACACGUAAUAAAAUAAUUUCUUAUUUGUCCCGAACGAUAGGUGACGCGUAAAUAAACUGUGUCCGCAUAACCAAUCAGUGAAGCGUUCCAAAAACCUACCAGCUGUAUAUUAUUAUAAUUAAUAAUAUCAAUAUGUCGAUUUAACAUAUUACAUUACAAAGUGACGGCAAUUCAGCGGCGAAUUGUGUACCACUGCGUACGUAAAUGAGGAAACAAUGGCGCAUCCCAAUCAAAUUGGUCUUGCCAUAGACUUGAAUAAAACCUUUGUCCCAUAAAAUAAUAGGACCCAAAUCACCAAUAGCAUCAAACAAUUUGGCAAUAGUAGACAAAACACCGCGUUUCGAUAAUGGCGUUUCUUUAAUAUUUGUAUGGUAGCCAAAAAUGUCACUUUGAGUGUUCCAGUGUAAACCUAGAACUUUGACAGUUGACUCAUCUUUUGGGUGAGUCAAUACCCGACAACCAUCGAUUUAUUAUGUAAAAUUGUGAAAUAAAAUGAAUAGUGUUUAACAUAUUUUUACUUGUUAAACGAUAGAAUGGUAAUUGACUGUGAAAAUUGACGUGAGUGUAUGAUUUUUGUUUUAGUGUAAAACAAAAAUAAUAUAUUAUGCUCAAGUAUAGUUUGUAGCUGAAACAAGUAUUUAAUAGCAUUAUUUGUAUGUUUCACGUACUCAAUUGUAUCAUAGCGAACGUGAACAAGUUUUUAAUAAGUGUUCAAAUAAUGUUUUGUUAUACUGAAUAAUUUUUUUUUCGUCAGUUCCUUUUGUAAAAUUUAGUGAAUACAAUAUACUUUUACUUUAUUUUUAUUCUAUUAAAUAACAUAUUCUAAAGUUUUAAUCAAUUAAGAUAUAUGAUUAAUAUAAUUAAUAUAACAUUUAGGAUAAUAUACGGUUACUUUUACAAAUUUAAUUAAUAGCAUAAAUUGUUAAAAGCCUAUAUUAUUAUGCCUGCCUGCAAAUGCUAUGAUAGGCCUCGAACCACCCAGCGAAAUUUUUGGUUUGUUAUGCUGAUUUUGUCACUAUUAUUCAUUAUUAUAUAUUUUGGUUUGAGAUCUUUAUUUAUAAAUCAUCAAGAAAAAGUUACAAAUGUUUCUGAAACUACUAAUAAUAUCAAUCAUUAUGAAGUCAGUAACAAACAUCCCUGGAGACUUAACAAAACUAUAAUGGAAGGACGUAAAACGUUAAAUAAUUAUAGCAGACGACUGGUUUGGCCAGAAGAAUUAUCCAAUGGUGACAGAAUAAUGGAACAAAUAUUAUUUGUUCCUUCUAAUUAUAACCGCGAAACGGCUCCAAUUAAGAAAAUUCUACUUUAUAAUGGAAUAGGGUACUCAUGGGAAAUACCUAGACUUGGACAAGAAGAGUUCAUAGAUUGUCCUGUGAGCAGUUGUUCAAUGACUACAGAUAAAUCUUUAGCUCCUUUAGUCGAGGCCAUACUUUUCAAGCAUAAGUAUAAUGGAAGUGAGCAUAUAAGGCCUCCUAAUCAGAUUUGGAUAAUUUACUUUACUGAAGGACCAUACAUUUCGCCUAUAUUCCAAGACAACAAUGUUUUCAACUGGACUGCUACUUAUCGAAUGGAUAGUGAUAUACCAAAUCCUUAUUCUUAUUGGUAUCAAUACAAUGAACAAGAAAUUAAAAUUCGACCAAAAGUGCCAAAAAAAAAUUAUGCAUCGGGAAAAAUUAAACAAGUAGCAUGGUUUGUUUCAGACUGUAAGCCAUUUAAUAAUCGUUCAGGAUAUGCACACGAACUUUCUAAGCAUAUAUCAGUAGACAUUUAUGGCAAAUGUGGUCCGUUGAAGUGUCCUAAAUCAAACAAAUGUUUUUUGAUGCUUAAAAAUACCUAUAAAUUUUACUUGGCUUUUGAAAACGCUCAUUGUAUGCAUUACAUCACCGAAAAACUGUAUACAAAUGCAUACAAUUGUACGUUCAGUAAGUAAGGAAACAGGUAUAUUGUUAUAAACAAUGAGAACAAUAGAAACCAAUUUAUUUUAUAAAUAAAUGACUUUUAAUUUUUAACAUAACUUUAUUCGUUUAUUGGUUUUAGCUUCGAUGCGAAGCUGAGAAGGUAUUGGUUUUACUAAGAUGUGUUUUUUUUUUUUUUGUGUCUGUUACCACUUUUUCUCAGCUCUCACCGAACCGAUUUCUUUCAAUGAUACGUCAAAAAAUCACAAAUCGUAUCAAGUCAAAGACAUUACCCUUAAAAAUUGAAAAAAAUUCCCUCGUUCCCCGUAAAAGGGGGAAACCUCCAAAAAAAUUACAAAUUUAAAAAUCGCUAAUUUUCGAAAUUUUUUCAAUUUUUUUUACUUAAAAGUGCCAUAACUUUUUCAAAAAUAAACAUAUCAAUAUAAUUCUUUUUUAUAUAGAUGCAUAAUAUCAUUACCUUUCAUUUGGUAUAUUUUUUUCAUAAAUUUAACCCUUAACCUGCCCACAAGGGGGGAUUUAAAAUGACAACUUUUUCACAAAAAAUUAAUUUUUUUAACUUAAAUUUUGAAAAUGUUCCGGAAGGUCUGACACUUUUAUAUAUAUCUUAAAUUAAAGCUAAUGUAAUAUACUUUAUAAUGGUAAAAAAAAAUUUCGGACUUUAUUUUAUCUUCAUGGUGAAAACAGACAUUAAACUUAAUAAAAAAAAUACGAUUUUUGUAAAAAAAUUCUUUUUUAUAUUUUUAACUUUAUAAUGCUAUAACUUCUCGAAAGAUGUAUGGAUCAAUAUAAUUCUUUUUUUUGUAGAUGCAUGAUGUCUUUACCUAUCAUUUGGUAUAUUUUUUUUAUAAAUCUGACUUUUUACCUGCCUACAGGGGGGGAUUCAAAAUGACAACUUUUUCACAAAAAAUUGACUUUUUCAACUUAAAUUUUGAAAGUGUUCCGGAAAGUCUGACACUUUUAUAUAUAUCUUAAAUUAAAGCUAAUGUAAUAUACUUUAUCAUGGAAAAAAAAAAUUUCGGACUUUAUUUUAUCUUCAAGGUGAAAAUGGCUACC